UACGGAGGGGGCAAGCGUUAUUCGGAAUUAUUGGGCGUAAAGGGCGCGUAGGCGGCUAGAUGUGUCAAAGGUGAAAUCCCUCGGCUCAACUGAGGAACUGCCUUUGAAACUGUCUGGCUUGAGGCCGGGAGAGGGUAGCGGAAUUCCCAGUGUAGCGGUGAAAUGCGUAGAUAUUGGGAGGAACACCAGUGGCGAAGGCGGCUACCUGGACCGGUUCUGACGCUGAGGCGCGAAAGCGGGGGUAGCAAACAGG
rnacentral:rRNA from 1 species